rnacentral:rRNA from 1 species
UGGACGUUACUCGCAGAAUAAGCACCGGCUAACUCUGUGCCAGCAGCCGCGGUAAUACAGAGGGUGCGAGCGUUAAUCGGAUUUACUGGGCGUAAAGCGUGCGUAGGCGGCUUUUUAAGUCGGAUGUGAAAUCCCUGAGCUUAACUUAGGAAUUGCAUUCGAUACUGGGAAGCUAGAGUAUGGGAGAGGAUGGUAGAAUUCCAGGUGUAGCGGUGAAAUGCGUAGAGAUCUGGAGGAAUACCGAUGGCGAAGGCAGCCAUCUGGCCUAAUACUGACAGCUGAGGUACGAAAGCAUGGGGAGCAAACACGGAUUAGAUACCCUGGUAGUCCAUGCCGUAAACGAUGUCUACUAGCCGUUGGGGCCUUUGAGGCUUUAGUGGCGCAGCUAACGCGAUAAGUAGACCGCCUGGGGAGUACGGUCGCAAGAUUAAAACUCAAAUGAAUUGACGGGGGCCCGCACAAGCGGUGGAGCAUGUGGUUUAAUUCGAUGCAACGCGAAGAACCUUACCUGGUCUUGACAUACUAAGAACUUUCCAGAGAUGGAUUGGUGCCUUCGGGAACUUACAUACAGGUGCUGCAUGGCUGUCGUCAGCUCGUGUCGUGAGAUGUUGGGUUAAGUCCCGCAACGAGCGCAACCCUUUUCCUUAUUUGCCAGCGGGUUAAGCCGGGAACUUUAAGGAUACUGCCAGUGACAAACUGGAGGAAGGCGGGGACGACGUCAAGUCAUCAUGGCCCUUACGACCAGGGCUACACACGUGCUACAAUGGUCGGUACAAAGGGUUGCUACCUAGCGAUAGGAUGCUAAUCUCAAAAAGCCGAUCGUAGUCCGGAUUGGAGUCUGCAACUCGACUSCAUGAAGUCGGAAUCGCUAGUAAUCGCGGAUCAGAAUGCCGCGGUGAAUACGUUCCCGGGCCUUGUACACACCGCCCGUCACACCAUGGGAAUUUGUUGCACCAGAAGUAGGUAGUCUAACCGCAAGGAGGACGCUUACCACGGUGUGGCCGAUGACUGGGGUGAAGUCGUAACAAG